GACGAACGCUGGCGGCGUGCUUAACACAUGCAAGUCGAACGGACCGGCCCUGCUUUUGUGGGGUGCUCGAGUGGCGAACGGGUGAGUAACCCGUGAGUAACCUGCCCUUGACUUUGGGAUAACUUCAGGAAACUGGGGCUUAUACCGGAUAGGAGCUCCUGCUGCAUGGUGGGGGUUGGAAAGUUUCGGCGGUUGGGGAUGGACUCGCGGCUUAUCAGCUUGUUGGUGGGGUAGUGGCUUACCAAGGCUUUGACGGGUAGCCGGCCUGAGAGGGUGACCGGCCACAUUGGGACUGAGAGACGGCCCAGACUCCUACGGGAGGCAGCAGUGGGGAAUAUGGCAGAAGGGGCGGAAGCCUGAUGCAGCAACGGCGCGUGCGGGAUGACGGCCUUCGGGUUGGAAACCGCUUUCGCCUGUGACGAAGCGUGAGUGACGGUAAUGGGUAAAGAAGCACCGGCUAACUACGUG
rnacentral:rRNA from 1 species